rnacentral:rRNA from 1 species
UCGAACGGUAACAGGUCUUCGGAUGCUGACGAGUGGCGAACGGGUGAGUAAUACAUCGGAACGUGCCCGAUCGUGGGGGAUGACGAGGCGAAAGCUUUGCUAAUACCGCAUACGAUCUACGGAUGAAAGCGGGGGAUCUUCGGACCUCGCGCGGACGGAGCGNCCGAUGGCAGAUUAGGUAGUUGGUGGGAUAAAAGCUUACCAAGCCGACGAUCUGUAGCUGGUCUGAGAGGAUGAUCAGCCACACUGNGACUGAGACACGGCCCAGACUCCUACGGGAGGCAGCAGUGGGGAAUUUUGGACAAUGGGCGAAAGCCUGAUCCAGCCAUGCCGCGUGCAGGAUGAAGGCCUUCGGGUUGUAAACUGCUUUUGUACGGAACGAAAAGCCUCUUUCUANUAAAGAGGNGUCAUGACGGUACCGUAAGAAUAAGCACCGGNUAACUACGUGCCAGCAGCCGCGGUAAUACGUAGGGUGCAAGCGUUAA